ACGCACGCUGGCGGCGUGCCUAAUACAUGCAAGUCGAGCGAAGUUUUUCUGGUGCUUGCACCGGAAAAACUUAGCGGCGAACGGGUGAGUAACACGUAAAGAACCUGCCUCAUAGACUGGGACAACUAUUGGAAACGAUAGCUAAUACCGGAUAAUAGCAUUAACUGCAUGGUUGAUGUUUAAAAGUUGGUUUUGCUAACACUAUGAGAUGGCUUUGCGGUGCAUUAGCUAGUUGGUGGGGUAAAGGCCUACCAAGGCGACGAUGCAUAGCCGACCUGAGAGGGUGAUCGGCCACACUGGGACUGAGACACGGCCCAGACUCCUACGGGAGGCAGCAGUAGGGAAUCUUCCGCAAUGGGCGAAAGCCUGACGGAGCAACGCCGCGUGAGUGAAGAAGGAUUUCGGUUCGUAAAGCUCUGUUGUUAGGGAAGAAUGAUUGUGUAGUAACUAUACACAGUAGAGACGGUACCUAACCAGAAAGCCACGGCUAACUACGUG
rnacentral:rRNA from 1 species